rnacentral:rRNA from 1 species
GUGUCAGCCGCCGCGGUAAUACGGAGGGUGCGAGCGUUAAUCGGAAUUACUGGGCGUAAAGCGUGCGUAGGCGGCCUGUUAAGUCAGAUGUGAAAGCCCUGGGCUCAACCUGGGAACGGCAUUUGAAACUGGCAAGCUAGAGUUAGGUAGAGGGGAGUGGAAUUUCAGGUGUAGCGGUGAAAUGCGUAGAUAUCUGAAGGAACACCAGUGGCGAAGGCGGCUCCCUGGACCCAAACUGACGCUGAGGUACGAAAGCGUGGGUAGCAAACAGGAUUAGAUACCCCAGUAGUCC